CGAAGCACCACCACCCCACCAGUCGAAAUAAAUUGGAGGAUUUUUGUUCCCACCACGACCUACUACCCCUAAGCUGAAAACAGAUUCCCAUUGCUGUUUCGUCGCUCACUUUACAGUUCAUAUACAGUAGGCCUUUCGAACCGACUGCUCUAAAAUGAAAACUGCGGUCAUAUGGUUCGCCUUGAUCUUUGCUCUGCUGCUGGAUACGUCCUCUGCAUUGCCGUUUGCAGGUAAGUCCAGGACACGACGAGACGCACCUCCAUACGGAUGCCAGAGUUGGUGGCAAAUACGUCGGGGUAGCACGUGCUGGGAAACGGCUAGAGUUUGUGGAAUAGACCUGAAUACCCUUUACCGUAACAAUGGAGUUUUGGAAGGUGGUAGGGCCUGCAAUAAUUUGCAAAUCGGCAAUUUUCUUUGCUGCGAAUAUGGCGAGACAAGAAACCAAAACUAUGAAUACAGUCCGUACGAAAUGUAUGGCGGAUGGUAAACUCUUCUAUAUGUAUCAACUUACAAUCCAUUCGAAACAACAUUCACAUUUUUUUUCUGGAUUGUAUUGGAAAACUAACCUGUGAACCAAGCCA